rnacentral:rRNA from 1 species
GGGAGUACGUUCGGAUUUAUUGGGCGUAAGCGAGCGCAGGCGGUCUUUUAAGUCUAAUGUGAAAGCCUUCGGCUCAACCGAAGAAGUGCAUUGGAAACUGGGAGACUUGAGUGCAGAAGAGGACAGUGGAACUCCAUGUGUAGCGGUGAAAUGCGUAGAUAUAUGGAAGAACACCAGUGGCGAAGGCGGCUGUCUGGUCUGUAACUGACGCUGAGGCUCGAAAGCAUGGGUAGCGAACAGGAUUAGAUACCCUGGUAGUCCAUGCCGUAAACGAUGAUUACUAAGUGUUGGAGGGUUUCCGCCCUUCAGUGCUGCAGCUAACGCAUUAAGUAAUCCGCCUGGGGAGUACGACCGCAAGGUUGAAACUCAAAAGAAUUGACGGGGGCCCGCACAAGCGGUGGAGCAUGUGGUUUAAUUCGAAGCUACGCGAAGAACCUUACCAGGUCUUGACAUCUUCUGCCAACCUAAGAGAUUAGGCGUUCCCUUCGGGGACAGAAUGACAGGUGGUGCAUGGUUGUCGUCAGCUCGUGUCGUGAGAUGUUGGGUUAAGUCCCGCAACGAGCGCAACCCUUAUUACUAGUUGCCAGCAUUCAGUUGGGCACUCUAGUGAGACUGCCGGUGACAAACCGGAGGAAGGUGGGGACGACGUCAAAUCAUCAUGCCCCUUAUGACCUGGGCUACACACGUGCUACAAUGGAUGGUACAACGAGUCGCGAAACCGCGAGGUUUAGCUAAUCUCUUAAAACCAUUCUCAGUUCGGACUGUAGGCUGCAACUCGCCUACACGAAGUCGGAAUCGCUAGUAAUCGCGGAUCAGCAUGCCGCGGUGAAUACGCUCCCCGGGGCCUGGUAC